UACGUAGGUGGCAAGCGUUAUCCGGAUUUAUUGGGUUUAAAGGGUGCGUAGGCGGGUAUUUAAGUCGGUGGUGAAAGGUAGCAGCUCAACUGUUUUACAUGCUGCCGAUACUGAAUAUCUUGAGUUAUCAGAAGGCAGAUAGAAUUUCUGGUGUAGCGGUGAAAUGCUUAGAUACCAGAAGGAAUACCGAUUGCGAAGGCAGUCUGCUGCAAAUAUACUGACGCUGAGGCACGAAAGUAUGGGGAUCAAACAGG
rnacentral:rRNA from 1 species